rnacentral:rRNA from 1 species
UACGUAGGGCGCGAGCGUUGUCCGGAAUUAUUGGGCGUAAAGGGCUCGUAGGCGGUCUGUCACGUCGGGAGUGAAAACACGGGGCUUAACCCCGUGCCUGCUUCCGAUACGGGCAGACUAGAGGUAUGCAGGGGAGAACGGAAUUCCUGGUGUAGCGGUGAAAUGCGCAGAUAUCAGGAGGAACACCGGUGGCGAAGGCGGGUCUCUGGGCCGAUACUGACGCUGAGGAGCGAAAGCGUGGGGGAGCGAACAGG